rnacentral:ncRNA from 2 species
ACGCGCUGGCGGGACUCGGUGAAAUUCCGAACCGGCGGUGAUCCGUUGCCUUUGGCGGCGGUAAGCCCGCGACCCGGACGUCCGCACCACGGACGGCCGGUGGACCUGGUGAGACUCCGGGGCCGACGGUUGAUCGGGCGCAGGCUCGGUCAGACAGUCCGGAUGGGAGACAGCGCGC